GGACCCAUUUGACAUCUAAGCCUUUAUUCAAUCUAUUCUAAAAAUGAUCUUUUGGUCAUUAUUUCUAAAUCUUCUUCAAAAAAGUUUAUCUUUGAGACAAUCCACAAAUUUUCUUCAAGAAAUGGAGUCUUUAUGCAACUCUUUUACUCUUUCUUUAAUCUCAAGAUUAAUAAUAAGAUCAAAAGCAAAGAUCAUCUUUAUCUUUAGAACUUCAUGUAUUUCCAUCUUGCA
rnacentral:lncRNA from 1 species